AUGAAUGAAACUCCUAGAGUUUCUCUUCUUUAAAAGAGAGGGCAGGGCCUGUUUUAGCCCCAUCUUUGCCUCUGUGCCGUACUUGGAAUGCAGAUGUGAUGCCUGGAGCCCUAGCAGCUGUCUGGAAGCCGUUCACUGGGACAGUGGAGCAGAAAGAGAGGAGCCUGGGUCCCUGAUGACACCGCGGAGUGAGUCUGAUCUACCCUGCUGCCAUGGUGAAAGAGGGAGGGUACCACCAGGAUCAGGACACCUCUCUCCUGCCCCACAAGACAGCAGUCUGACCUCCCCGCUGGUCCCCAAGAAGUGGCAAAGACGGCAGGUUCCCUUUACAGAAAAUGACCAUGGCGACCUGAGAGGCUGGGGCAGCUUGACUUCUCAACCCAGAGGAUGCCUCACCUGGGAGUGAGGUCAUGGCUGAGGCCACCUUCUCACCAUCUCCAGCUGUAAAGAGCCCUCCUGCGGGUAGGAGUUCGCUGAGCAAAUACUUAAGCUGGGCCUUUGGAAGCCGAUCAAACUCCCAUCCAA